rnacentral:rRNA from 1 species
AUUGAACGCUGGCGGCAUGCUUUACACAUGCAAGUCGAACGGCAGCGCGGGCUUCGGCCUGGCGGCGAGUGGCGAACGGGUGAGUAAUACAUCGGAACGUGCCCAGUAGUGGGGGAUAGCUCGGCGAAAGCCGGAUUAAUACCGCAUACGACCUGAGGGUGAAAGCGGGGGAUCUUCGGACCUCGCGCCAUUGGAGCGGUCGAUGGCAGAUUAGCUAGUUGGUGGGGUAAAGGCCUACCAAGGCGACGAUCUGUAGCUGGUCUGAGAGGACGACCAGCCACACUGGGACUGAGACACGGCCCAGACUCCUACGGGAGGCAGCAGUGGGGAAUUUUGGACAAUGGGCGAAAGCCUGAUCCAGCAAUGCCGCGUGUGUGAUGAAGGCCUUCGGGUUGUAAAGCACUUUUGGCGGGAACGAAAAGGACUGUGCCAAUACCACGGUUCGAUGACGGUACCCGCAGAAUAAGCACCGGCUAACUACGUG